AAAAAGUUUUCGUGUCCAACAUUUAACCAUCAUCUUAUUUGAAAAAGUUAUAAAAAAAAAGACAAGUCACGCAUAAAGUAUUAAUCAUGUUUUUAUCAUCUAACAACAAUGAAAAUACUAAUUAUAAAAAAAUUUCAUAUAAGACGGACAGUCAAACGUUGGACACGGUCAGCAAGAGCCACGCCUACG
rfam:Oryza meridionalis cultivar OR44 (W2112) chromosome 3, whole genome shotgun sequence.